AAUUGAAGAGUUUGAUCAUGGCUCAGAUUGAACGCUGGCGGCAGGCCUAACACAUGCAAGUCGAGCGGCAGCGACUUAACUGAACCUUCGGGGAACGUUAAGGGCGGCGAGCGGCGGACGGGUGAGUAAUGCCUGGGAAUAUGCCCUGAUGUGGGGGAUAACUAUUGGAAACGAUAGCUAAUACCGCAUAAUCUCCGAUCUUUUACGAGAUGGGAGCAAAGAGGGGGACCUUCGGGCCUCUCGCGUCAGGAUUAGCCCAGGUGGGAUUAGCUUGUUGGUGAGGUAAUGGCUCACCAAGGCAACGAU
rnacentral:rRNA from 1 species